UAAUAUCUCACAAUUAUGUGUUCUUCCACUUCCUCUUGUUAUUUCCUGGAUUCGUGGCCGGAUUUUUCUUUUCCACCUCCUGCCUCCUGAAACAGUUAAACCUUUCCUGAGACUGAGUUCUCUGCCCCUCCCAUUACACACUCACUCUCUCUCACAUCAACAACUUUUAUUUUAGAUUCAGGGGGUACAUAUGUAGGUUUAUUACCUGGUUAUACUGUGGGAUGCUGAGGUUUCAGGUAUGACAGAUCCCAUUAACCAGGAAGUGAGCAUGUUACUCAACAAUUAGUUUCUCGACAUUCCCCCUCCACCCCGCUCUGGCAGGCCCCGUGUUUACUGUUGUCAUCUUUGUGUCCGUGAGUACACAAUGUUUAGCUCCCACUUACAAGGGAGAACAUGCAGUAUUUGGGUUUCUGUUCUUGUGGUUAAUUCACUUAGGAUAAUGGCCUCCAGCUGCAUCCAUGUUGCCGCAAACGAAACGGUUUGUUCUUUUUUACAGCUGCGUGACACUCUUCUUCUGAAUCUGCGUCUGUUCUCAAAUCACUGUUCUGCAGCUUUUGCAGUGGCGUGGCACCUGGUCUCUUUCUACAAGGAAAGUUCAACACACAGGACAGUUCUCGACACAUUGGAUUGGUUUGAUGAUCCCACCUGCAAUAGGUAUGUAAAACCUCCAAUACACAUUUAUUGACACUUGAAUCAUAACCAUGGAUGUAUAUUUGU
rnacentral:lncRNA from 1 species